AACAGGAUUAGAUACCCUGGUAGUCCACGCCGUAAACGAUGAGCACUAGGUGUCGGGGUCGCAAGACUUCGGUGCCGUAGUUAACGCAUUAAGUGCUCCGCCUGGGGAGUACGUUCGCAAGAAUGAAACUCAAAGGAAUUGACGGGGACCCGCACAAGCAGCGGAGCAUGUGGUUUAAUUCGAAGCAACGCGAAGAACCUUACCAGGACUUGACAUCCUUCUGACAGGACCUUAACCGGUCCCUCCUUCGGGCAGAAGAGACAGGUGGUGCAUGGUUGUCGUCAGCUCGUGUCGUGAGAUGUUGGGUUAAGUCCCGCAACGAGCGCAACCCUUGUCAUUAGUUGCCAUCAUUUAGUUGGGCACUCUAAUGAGACUGCCGGGGAUAACUCGGAGGAAGGUGGGGAUGACGUCAAAUCAUCAUGCCCCUUAUGUCCUGGGCUACACACGUGCUACAAUGGCUGGUACAAAGAGACGCAAGACCGCGAGGUGGAGCAAAUCUUCAAAACCAGUCCCAGUUCGGAUUGUAGGCUGAAACUCGCCUGCAUGAAGUCGGAGUUGCUAGUAAUCGUGAAUCAGAAUGUCACGGUGAAUGCGUUCCCGGGUCUUGUACACACCGCCCGUCACAUCAUGGAAGCUGGGGGCGCCCGAAGUUGGUCGAGAAAUAGAUUACCUAAGGCGAAAUCAGUGA
rnacentral:rRNA from 1 species